AUUUAAGUAAUUUAAUAUAAAAUAUUGAUUUGUGGUGUCAAAUAUGCGAAUUUUUCGCCUUAGAUC
rnacentral:tRNA from 1 species